UAUGUAACUCCAGACCUGCCAGACAUAUGAGAAACUUCUCUCUUUUGGUUCUCUAAAUGAAACAAUUUGAGAAGAAUGACUUCAGAAGCUUAUGUUUUCAUAUAUCGCUCUGUGUAAAGGGGGAUGAAAAGGAUGAGUGAUUUAUAACUAUCAAUAAAGGUUAAUUAUCUAAGAAUGCCAUCAACUUCGUCAUCACAACUUAUGGAGGAUCUCUUCAAGGAAAACUCUCAUUUUGAAUAUGAAUCAUUUGAGAUGUAAAUAAUUAGUUAUCAUCAUAAAUGACUAGGGAAUUUUUAAAUUUUAUUUAUUCAUUUGAAAGAGAGAGAGGGAGAGACAGAAGGAGAAAUCUUCCAUCUGCUGGUUCAUCCCCUAGGAUGGCUGCAAUGGCUUGGACUGGGCCAGGCUGAAGUCAGGAGUCAGCACCUUCUUGCAGGUCUCCCAGAUGGGUGGCAGGGGUCCAAGCACAUGGGCCCUCUUCCCCUGCUCUUCCCAGACCAUUAGGAGGGAGCUGGAUCGAAAGUGGAACAGCCAGGACAGGAUCCAUACAGGAUGGCAGCAUUAGGUGGCAGCUUUUACCCACUAGGCCACAAUACCAGCCCUGACCAAGGCAUUUUUAGAUAAGGGACAGUAGUGAAAUUAAAUGAAAUGGACACAGUGAAAAUGAAUCCAGAUCUAUUUUGACUUUACCAUAUACUUGUGAAGUGAUUUGAGGCUAAUAAAAGGUCCAGUGAUUCAGAUAGAGAAAAUUUCUAGGGCUUGGAAAUUCAGUGGUAAAAAAUAAUAUUCGGGCUGGCGCCGUGGCUCAGUAGGCUAAUCCUCCGCCUAGUGGCGCCGGCACACUAGGUUCUAGUCCCGGUCGGGGCGCUGGAUUCUGUCCCGGUUGCCCCUCUUCCAGGCCAGCUCUCUGCUGUGGCCAGGGAGGGCAGUGGAGGAUGGCCCAAGUGCUUGGGCCCUGCACCUGCAUGGGAGACCAGGAAAAGCACCUGGCUCCUGGUUUCGGAUCAGCGCGGUGCACAGGCCACAGCGGCCAUUGGAGGGUGAACCAGCGGUAAAGGAAGACCUUUCUCCCUGUCUCUCUCUCUCACUGUCCACUCUGCCUGUCAAAAAAAUAUAUAUAUAUUCGCCACCUCAAUUUUCCUGUUAUUUGUGGAUGGGUCUAUGAAGAGCGCCUUAGAGUAAGAGUGAAUUAUGAUGAGUUUUAGAAGAGAAACAAUGAACUUAUUCUGAUCUGCAGAGGUAAGAAUAUAGUAACAUGAAUGCAGAAAGAAUCCUUAAUUAUGUUUUUAAGUCCUAAAGGCUAUCCUGUUCAAAUUGCUUUCUUUCCAACAACGUUUCUAAUACAGGUUAGCACAAGCAGUCUUUUCAUAUAAAAUAAGUCUUAACAUUUAGCAAGCGUGUGUUUGGAAGUCUGAAACUGUUCCUGCCUGGCCAGUCGAGGUGUUCACCAAACAAGUCCAUGGCAGACUCUGUUUCCUGUUGGACCUUCCAGGGCCAUUGUAGGUCAUUAUAAAAAUUAAAGAAUAAGAAAGGAAGGGGGUGGGAGGCAGUGAUGGAGCAAGGACUAAAAGCCUCAGGUCCACAUUGACCUAUCACCUAUAAAACAUGGAACAGGCCUCCAUUUCUCUGACCAGCCCUGCCUGGACUGCUGGACACACCACUAUCUGAAGAGCCCAGCCACCGGCCUGAGCUCUCCCCACACCUGCCAGUCUCUCUCCCCCAACUCAGCAGCUCUGCCUCAGAGUCCAGUCACUGCCUCUGCCCAAACCCCUCCCGGCUCACAGCGUUAUCUCGCAGGACCUUUCAAACUAGCCCAAGCUCUCCCUCCAUCUGGGUAGCACAGACCCCCAAGCCUCUUCCCACCGCUUUGUACUAGAUGAACCGCUAGUCUGUAAGGGAAGGCGCUUUUUCUCAGCGGGUGUUCACCUGGGAGUGAGCCCCUCCCAGGUUUUCGGCUUCUGAGUAAGCCUGGUCUGGCUGUGGCUGCAUACUCUAUCUUUUCUUUCCUUGACAGGCAUGAGGGAGGACAGGGUGGGGCAUAUCACUAGGCUCCUAAAUCUCUAUAUCCAGUUCAUGAAAUUAGUUCACCUUAAAAAUAAAUACAGAAUUUAGAUUGUGCACUUUAUUACUUUAAUUCACUCUUCCUCCUAAGGUAUGCUAUCGUGGAAACUGUGCAGAGUGCACAAUUGUGCAGAGUCCACUGCUUUGUUUCUCAAAGGUUACACACUCUGCACUGGGCGCAGGAUCUGGUUGGGUCAGGGCCGCCCUCUGGCCCCCCCGGGCCGGCCGGGCGUGCGCACUUACUCUCUGCGGGCUCCUUGGAGCGCCGGCCGCUGGACGACUUCCUCAGUAGGCUGCGUCCCGAGGUGGAAAACAGAUGCAAGAGCCCAGAAAGCAAAAUCAAGAUCCAGAGGAGCAGAAUGGAGCCUUAUCAGCUCAUCAUUUCUACUCUCCGAGCAAAGAAUCAAUAGACCUCACGUGUCUAACUGGACUUCUGGAUUGCUAUGGGCCAGUGUCUUCUAAGAGUAUGUGCCUCCCUCUGCACACUCUGCAGUCCCUACUUUGUUGAAUAAGAUUGUUCAAUGCAGUUGUCUUGUUCCUGACCCAUUGUUAUAUGUCACAUUGUGUAGUGCAGAUAAGUUGUACUUUUUGUUCCAAGCCCUUACACAUAAAAAAAUUUCAGCCAAAGAUCUUGCAUACGAAACUGCAUAAGAAUCCUCAUUAAUUUGGACAUGAUUUAGAUGAUGAAGUCCUGGAUUUCAAAGUGAUGUAGUACAAUAACACUUUGGGCAAGAUAGAGUAUAUUUUGCCUAAUGAAAUAUUGUGGCUAGAAGACAAACUGUGGUGUUGAUCUUUGAAUAUAACCACCCUCAAUUCCUUCCCUCCUUCUCUGCAUUUCACCUAUCAAUAGGUGGAGUCUAUUCCCCUCUCCCUGGAUCUUGGUUGAUGUUUUGACUUGCAGAAGUGACAUGGCAGAAGAGACAUUCUGAAUCUUGAACUUAAGAAGACAGACAGCUUUCAUUUCUUCCAUCUUUGAAGCCAAUUACCAUUUAAGACCUUUUUGAUCAACAGCUAUGAAGAAGUCAACCUAGUUAUGUGAAAAGUCGAUGUGGAUAAGAAAGGUGGCCUAGACGUACAAGUGAAGCAUUCUUUGAUUUCCAAUCUAUCCCACCAGCCAUUGAGUCCAGUCACAUGAGAGACCCUAACCAUUAUCACAUAGAGCAGAGGAACCACCCAUAGAGCACAGGUCAACACAUGGAAUAAUAACAAAUAAUAAAUUGUUAUUUUAAGCCAUGGCA